CAAAAAAUUAUUUGUCUUUAUGGCUUGUAGUAUAAGUGGUGCUGUUCAUUUGAUGCACACAGUAACACGUGAACACAAAUGUAUGUGUACCUUGCAUUUAUGUGCAUGUGUGUGUGAAUAAAACAGCACAACUUCUAAUAUCAAGGCACGUUGUACCAACUAUACCCAUUAAAGAUGUUCUAUGUGGCAUUCAGCCGAUCUUAUUGAAAUUUUAUCACAUGGUGCAGUUACAACAUUUCAUACCUGUAUGUAAACCAAUUUAAUAACUGUAUUCACUGCAUGUGAGAAUGCAUAUUUUAGGCCAAUGCAGUGCCUGGGGUACCAACGUUUUAGUUAGCUUUGCCACAGCUUAUUAGAGGGAUCUUGUUGAUUAUGCCAUCCAAACAACUCGUAUAAAGGUUUGUGUUUAGUAUACCAGCAGUGAAAUACUGAAUGCAGCUGCAAUUCUUUGUAUACUAGUGAGAUUAAUUCCACUGCUCAUUGUUCUGUAACAUGUUCUUCAGUCACACGUGUUGACAGUAUUUGGCGUCAUGAGUUCUAGGCUAAUUUUCACAUGGGCCUUUCGAUGAAGUCAAAUCUGCCUCUUCAACAGUCAGUUUAGUGGAAAGCCACCACUGAACCAAUAGCUCAAAGACCAAUUCCUGCAUGCUUUUUGCCAAUUGGGUAGUGCGCGGAAACUAUGUGUGAUACAUCACUUCAGCAGAGGAACAUGAUGCACGUAUGUAACAGUUACUCAUCCCUUGAAAUGUGAAUGAUCCAAACCUUUGCGAGCAUAUCAGUCACAACCAUCCAGCAGCACAAGUGGGAACACUUGUGCUAUCACAAGCGAAAACAAGUACAAUAGUACUGCCGUCUCAGCUGGUUUGUCGUGAUUACUUUGCCUGCAAGUUCCUUGUUUAUAUUGGAUAGGCUUCCUACUUUAUAAAUUAACAGCUUUCACAACAUUUACUGUGCUAAUGAAGGCACAGCACAGAUACCAGUACUGAAGGAGGUAUAUACAAGUAGGGCAGAGAACUUGUGGGUAAGCUCAAAAAUAAACGGGUAAAACUAUGUCGAACAAACCAUUUUCACAUUAGAAGAUAUGUCAUCGGCAAUUAAUGCACAUGCAAUAAGUGCCCUGUGUGGGAGAUUGAGACCUGUGAUGCCAAACACCUGUUUGCCUUUUAAAUAUUGACAUAAAGAAAAAUUCCAGUCUGUACUUCUGUGUCGGAGGGUACAAUAUCAAAGGAGAGGUGCAAAACGGAUUUUGCAUGUAGUAGUCCCUUAUGAAUGUGCUACUCAAGUUGUGCCAAGCAUAGCCAUCUGUGUGCAAAGCAUUGGACAAGGUACCAUAUGUAUGUCUGACACAUUAAAAAUCUUUUGCAUUGAA